GUUGCUUCUAGUAAUACCAAGUGGCCACUCCACUAGUUGGUCAUCCACAAUUAGAAGCAUAUAGCAAAGAAAAUGCCAGUUUUAAACAGCAUGAUGUUUAUUUCUUGCAUUGUGUUACCUGUCUCCUGGUACAUGU